rnacentral:rRNA from 1 species
AACGAACGCUGGCGGCGUGCCUAACACAUGCAAGUCGCACGAGAUAGCCCCAGCAAUGGGGUGUGUAAAGUGGCGCACGGGUGAGUAAGACACAGGUAAUCUACCUUUUUGAUUGGAACAACCCGCCGAAAGGUGGGCUAAUUCCGGAUACGCCCCAGGGGACGUGAAGUUCCUUGGGGGAAAGCUGGCCUCUGCAUGCAAGCUAGCGCAAAAAGAUGAGCCUGCGGCCCAUCAGCUAGUUGGUAGGGUAACGGCCUACCAAGGCAAUGACGGGUAGCUGGUCUGAGAGGACGAUCAGCCACACUGGAACUGAAACACGGUCCAGACUCCUACGGGAGGCAGCAGUGGGGAAUAUUGGACAAUGGGGGAAACCCUGAUCCAGCAACGCCGCGUGAGGGAAGAAGGCCUUCGGGUUGUAAACCUCUGUCGGAGGGGACGAAACCGGUUGUGGCUAAUAUCCACAGCCAUUGACGGUACCCUCAGAGGAAGCACCGGCUGACUCCGUGCCAGCCGCCGCAGUAA